GUACUUGGAGUGGAGUGUGCUUGAGCUCAUCCAGCCAUACCUUUUCGGCCUUGUGCUUUGUCACGUGAAGGUGAUGGGAGUCACAUCAUCCUACUGGAGAGUCACAGAACAGGCUGAUGCAGAAGACAUACUGGAGACAAGGAUGGGAAAUCCUGUCUGCUUCAUCAUCCCAAGAGAUGUGGAGAGGGGAAGGAAAAAAAUGGCAAACCCUUCUCUGAGGUGUUUUCAGGAAGCAAUGUCAUGAAUAUAUACUA